rnacentral:rRNA from 1 species
UACAGAGGUCUCAAGCGUUGUUCGGAUUCAUUGGGCGUAAAGGGUGCGUAGGCGGCGCGGUAAGUCGGGUGUGAAAUCUUGGAGCUUAACUCCGAAACUGCAUUCGAUACUGCCGUGCUUGAGGACUGGAGAGGAGACUGGAAUUUACGGUGUAGCGGUGAAAUGCGUAGAUAAUCGUAAGGAAGACCAGUGGCGAAGGCGGCUACCUGGACAGAAACUGACGCUGAGGCGCGAAAGCUAGGGGAGCAAACAGG